AGUAGAGUGGCGCACGGGUGAGUAACACGUGGAUAAUCUGCCCUUGAGUUGGGGAUAACCAGCCGAAAGGCUGGCUAAUACCGAAUGACAUUGCCAAUCAUAAGAUAGGUAAUUAAAGGUUUACCGCUUGAGGAUGAGUCCGCGUCCCAUUAGCUAGUUGGUAGGGUAAUGGCCUACCAAGGCAACGAUUGGUAGCUGGUCUGAGAGGAUGAUCAGUCACACUGGAACUGGAACACGGUCCAGACCCCUACGGGAGGCAGCAGUGGGGAAUAUUGCGCAAUGGGGGAAACCCUGACGCAGCGACGCCGCGUGGGUGAGGAAGGUUUUAGGAUCGUAAAGCCCUGUCAAGUGGGAAGAAACAAAUGACGGUACCACUAAAGGAAGCACCGGCUAACUCCGUGCCAGCAGCCGCGGUAAUACGGAGGGUGCAAGCGUUGUUCGGAUUUAUUGGGCGUAAAGAGCAUGUAGGCGGUUUGUUAAGUCAGAAGUGAAAGCCCCGGGCUCAACCUGGGAAGUGCUUUUGAUACUGGCAGACUUGAAUACGGGAGAGGGUAGUGGAAUUCCAAGUGUAGAGGUGAAAUUCGUAGAUAUUUGGAGGAACACCAGUGGCGAAGGCGGCUACCUGGACCGAUAUUGACGCUGAGAUGCGAAAGCGUGGGGAGCAAACAGGAUUAGAUACCCUGGUAGCCCACGCCCUAAACGAUGAGUACUAGAUGCUGCGGGCUUGACCUGCAGUGUCGC
rnacentral:rRNA from 1 species